UAGGGAAUCUUCCACAAUGGACGCAAGUCUGAUGGAGCAACGCCGCGUGAGUGAAGAAGGUUUUCGGACCGUAAAGCUCUGUUGUUGGUGAAGAAGGAUAGAGGUAGUAACUGGCCUUUAUUUGACGGUAAUCAACCAGAAAGUCACGGCUAACUACGUGCCAGCAGCCGCGGUAAUACGUAGGUGGCAAGCGUUGUCCGGAUUUAUUGGGCGUAAAGCGAGCGCAGGCGGAAGAAUAAGUCUGAUGUGAAAGCCCUCGGCUUAACCGAGGAAUUGCAUCGGAAACUGUUUUCUUGAGUGCAGAAGAGGAGAGUAGAAACUCCAUGUGUAGCGGUGGAAUGCGUAGAUAUAUGGAAGAAUACCAGUGGCGAAGGCGGCUCUCUGGUCUGCAACUGACGCUGAGGCUCGAAAGCAUGGGUAGCGAACAGGAUUAGAUACCCUGGUAGUCCAUGCCGUAAACGAUGAGUGCUAAGU
rnacentral:rRNA from 1 species